rnacentral:lncRNA from 1 species
CUUGGAAUAAUCACCACCAAGCAGAUGGAAACACAGGUAAUAAUAAUACACAUAAAUAACACUUAUUAUUGAUGAAAAAGAGUCACAACAACGUACUACCACCACUGUAAUGUUUCCUAAACUUUUCUCUGCAGGGUAUAAGGCAUAAAGAGAAAACUAACCUCUCCUUUCUGGUUGACAAUUGGAACAGCAUACUGUAACUUCACAUCAUAGAAGAGGGACUCGAGGAAGACAUUCGCCACCCCAAUGAGACUGUGAUUUUCCUGUUCGUCAUAGAAUGGAUCAGCACGCUUGAAGUAGGACCGUAUGACCUUUAAAGAGAUUUGGAACAUCGCAACUUCAGAAAUCACUUAAAACAAAUUAAUUCA